AGAGUUUGAUCCUGGCUCAGGAUGAACGCUAGCUACAGGCUUAACACAUGCAAGUCGAGGGGCAUCAGUUUGGUUUUGCUUGCAAACCAAAAGCUGGCGACCGGCGCACGGGUGAGUAACACGUAUCCAACCUGCCUCAUACUCGGGGGAUAGCCUUUUCGAAAAGAAAGAUUAAUAUCCGAUAGCAUAUAUUUCCCGCAUGGGUUUUAUAUUAAAGAAAUUCGGUAUGAGAUGGGGAUGCGUUCCAUUAGUUUGUUGGCGGGGUAACGGCCCACCAAGACUACGAUGGAUAGGGGUUCUGAGAGGAAGGUCCCCCACAUUGGAACUGAGACACGGUCCAAACUCCUACGGGAGGCAGCA
rnacentral:rRNA from 1 species